rnacentral:rRNA from 1 species
CCUACGGGAGGCAGCAGUGAGGAAUAUUGGUCAAUGGGCGAGAGCCUGAACCAGCCAAGUCGCGUGAAGGAUGAAGGAUCUAUGGUUUGUAAACUUCUUUUAUAUGGGAAUAAAGUGAGGAACGUGUUCCUUUUUGUAUGUACCAUAUGAAUAAGCAUCGGCUAACUCCGUGCCAGCAGCCGCGGUAAUACGGAGGAUUCGAGCGUUAUCCGGAUUUAUUGGGUUUAAAGGGUGAGUUGGUGGUUAAUUAAGUCAGCUGUGAAAGUUUGUUGCUCAACCAUAAAAUUGCCGGUGAAACUGGUUGACGUGAGGAGAUUUUAGGGAGGCGGAAUUCGUGG